UCGGGUCGGCAUGGCAUCUCCACCUCCCCGCGGUCCGACCUGGGCAUCCGAAGGAGGACAGAACGUCCACUCGGAUGGCUAAGGGAGAGCCAGU
rnacentral:ribozyme from 1 species